AACAAAAUUGAAGUGUUCGUCUGGUCCGUCUGUCCGGUAAAAGCGAUUUCGACGAAACUAGAAAAAGGCGGCGGAAGGAAUAUUCGGAAUUGAAAUAAUUGGAAAUUCAAAAAAAGCAUUUCGCGUGAAAUACCUCUGGAUGAAAAUUGCGGGUCCUUCGGGGUAUUAUGUGCGAAAACCGGAGAAUAUUGUUCGUGAUAAAAGGUUUUUUUUCUAAGAAAAAAACGUUUUUUUAAUAAAAC